rnacentral:rRNA from 1 species
GAUGAACGCUGGCGGCGUGCCUAAUACAUGCAAGUCGAGCGAACAGACGAGGAGCUUGCUCCUCUGACGUUAGCGGCGGACGGGUGAGUAACACGUGGAUAACCUACCUAUAAGACUGGGAUAACUUCGGGAAACCGGAGCUAAUACCGGAUAAUAUAUUGAACCGCAUGGUUCAAUAGUGAAAGACGGUUUUGCUGUCACUUAUAGAUGGAUCCGCGCCGCAUUAGCUAGUUGGUAAGGUAACGGCUUACCAAGGCAACGAUGCGUAGCCGACCUGAGAGGGUGAUCGGCCACACUGGAACUGAGACACGGUCCAGACUCCUACGGGAGGCAGCAGUAGGGAAGCUGCCGCAAUGGGCGAAAGCCUGACGGAGCAACGCCGCGUGAGUGAUGAAGGUCUUCGGAUCGUAAAACUCUGUUAUUAGGGAAGAACAAAUGUGUAAGUAACUAUGCACGUCUUGACGGUACCUAAUCAGAAAGCCACGGCUAACUAC